CUGUGGAAUCUACGAGGAGAGACCACUUUUAUAUAUGAUUCAUUUGACGAAUGGGAGUUUUGUCCCUCUGAUUUCACAGCUGAGAGUAAAUAUGUACACGUCAAGGACAACAAAUUCAAUGCUACUUUUCUCUGCCAUGGAUGCCACACAAGUUGGGGAUGAUGAAGCAUCCAUCCAUGAAGUUUUCCUGGACAGUUUGUCUUGAAGUUUUCGUUGCCACACUGAAGACUCUCCAGCUAUUGAGAGAGAUCUUUUUGAAGGCUCUAUCGGUCCCCAUGGACUACAACAUUUUCCAGGCUAAUCAAACAUGUAGGCACAGCUGACGUGCAAACUCUAGCACGGCUAUAUUGUUGUUGUUUCUCUCUUCUACUUCAGAGCAAAAUGUAUACUCCUUUGGCGAGGGGGGCUUUCGUUUCGGCAAGAUUGCUCAACUUUCUUCUUAGCAAAAACGGCGUACACAUGAAAAGCUUCGUGGUUAAAGUAAGAUGCUGGUCUCUUCUGGUUAUGUAUGUCAAAUAAAUGGUUGAGCUGAGUUUCUUAGCAGUCUUGGAAGUAG